GCGCUCACUUCGGCAGCACAUGUACUAAAAUUGGAAUGAUACAGAGAAGAUUAGCAUGGCCCUUGCUCAAGGAUGACAUGCAAAUUCAUAAAGCAUUCCAUAAAAAU
ensembl:snRNA U6 U6 spliceosomal RNA